UUAUGGUACUAACUACCCGAGUCAGGCCAGGUGUAGAACAGUUAUGGUACUAACUACCCGAGUCAGGCCAGGUGUAGAACAGUUAUGGUACUAACUACCCGAGUCAGGCCAGGUGUAGAACAGUUAUGGUACUAACUACCCGAGUCAGGCCAGGUGUAGAACAGUUAUGGUACUAACUACCCGAGUCAGGCCAGGUGUAGAACAGGUAUGGUACUGUUGUGUAAACCACCAUCCUAUGUAUGUGAAACAAAAUUGUUACACCAAAACAUUACCGGUCAGAAAAA